UGCCUAGUAGUAUAAUGGCAACACGUUAUAGCAUUGUAUGCUUCUGGGCAAAUACCUCAGACGAGAUGUCGAAGUUGGAAAGUCGUAGGUUCGAAUCCUACCUAGGAAC